rnacentral:rRNA from 1 species
GAGCAUACCGCGUGAGGGAGGAAGGCCUUUGGGUUGUAAACCUCUUUUCUGGGGGAAGAAGCAAGUGACGGUACCCCAGGAAUCAGCAUCGGCUAACUCCGUGCCAGCAGCCGCGGUAAUACGGAGGAUGCAAGCGUUAUCCGGAAUUAUUGGGCGUAAAGCGUCCGCAGGUGGUCCAUCAAGUCUGCUGUCAAAGACCGGAGCUCAACUCCGGGCAGGCAGUGGAAACUGGUGAACUAGAGUACGGUAGGGGUAGAGGGAAUUCCCAGUGUAGCGGUGAAAUGCGUAGAGAUUGGGAAGAACACCAGUGGCGAAGGCGCUCUACUGGGCCGUAACUGACGCUCAGGGACGAAAGCUAGGGGAGCGAAAGGGAUUAGAUACCCCUGUAGUCCUAGCUGUAAACGAUGGAUACUAGGCGUUGCUUGUAUCGACCCGAGCAGUGCCGUAGCUAACGCGUUAAGUAUCCCGCCUGGGAGUACGCACGCAAGUGUGAAACUCAAAGGAAUUGACGGGGGCCCGCACAAGCGGUGGAGUAUGUGGUUUAAUUCGAUGCAACGCGAAGAACCUUACCAGGGCUUGACAUGUCCGGAAUCUCGGGGAAACUCGAGAGUGCCUUCGGGAGCCGGAACACAGGUGGUGCAUGGCUGUCGUCAGCUCGUGUCGUGAGAUGUUGGGUUAAGUCCCGCAACGAGCGCAACCCUCGUCCUUAGUUGCCAGCCUUAAGUGGGGCACUCUAGGGAGACUGCCGGUGACAAACCGGAGGAAGGUGGGGAUGACGUCAAGUCAGCAUGCCCCUUACGUCCUGGGCGACACACGUACUACUAUGGUCGGGACAAAGGGCAGCGAACUCGCGAGAGUAAGCGAAUCUCAGCAAACCCGGCCUCAGUUCAGAUUGCAGGCUGCAACUCGCCUGCAUGAAGGAGGAAUCGCUAGUAAUCGCAGGUCAGCAUACUGCGGUGAAUUCGUUCCCGGGCCUUGUACACACCGCCCGUCACACCAUGGAAGCUGGCCACGCCCGAAGUCGUUACCCUAACCCUUAGGGGAGGGGGACGCCGAAGGCAGGGCUAGUGACUGGGGUGAAGUCGUAACAAGGUAGCCGUACCGGAAGGUGU